CCUACGGGAGGCAGCAGUAGGGAAUAUUGCUCAAUGGGGGAAACCCUGAAGCAGCGACGCCGCGUGGGGGAUGAAGGUUUUCGGAUUGUAAACUCCUUUUGUUAGAGAAGAUAAUGACGGUAUCUGACGAAUAAGCACCGGCUAACUCCGUGCCAGCAGCCGCGGUAAUACGGAGGGUGCAAGCGUUACCCGGAUUUACUGGGCGUAAAGAGCGCGUAGGCGGGAUAGCAAGUCAGAUGUGAAAUCCUAUGGCUUAACCAUAGAACUGCUUUUGAAACUGUUAAUCUAGAGUGUGGGAGAGGUAGGUGGAAUUCUUGGUGUAGGGGUAAAAUCCGUAGAGAUUAAGAGGAAUACUCAUUGCGAAGGCGACCUGCUAGAACAUAACUGACGUUGAUGCGCGAAAGCGUGGGGAGCAAACAGGAUUAGAUACCCCUGUAGUC
rnacentral:rRNA from 1 species